CCUCCCGUCUCUUCUACCCGAACCCCCCCUCCCCCCCCCCAGCAGAGAGACCCCAGCAGCAGCAGCAGCUGAUGAUGAAGAGAGAGGCAGUGGCAGAGGGGGGGCACCUUUUAUUUCUAUUUUUAAAGGGACAGGACACUAAUUUUACCCCACUUCAACCUUGAAUUGAGGGGGGUGGGGGGAAGGCGGCUGAGUUCCUUCCCCCACCCUCCAGCCCUGAGACCUGAGAGGGGGAUUGAGCCUGAGAAAGAAGAAGAAGGAGUUUCUUCUUCUUCGAAAACCCCCAUCCACGACUCCUACCCCCUCACCCCUCCACUAGCCUCCCUCCCGAGCCCCCUCCACCCUCCUCCUCUUCGGCCGUGAGAGGAGGAGAGAAAGAGACCAAAAGCCUCUUAGCAACACAGACCCUUUGCUGCUGCUGUUGCUGCUGCUGCUGCUGCUGCUACUGCUGCUGCUGCUUGGCCCUGGCUGGAGACAUCUCACUACACCCAGGAGCAGCCACUUCCCCAGCUCUCCUCCUCCUUCGCCUCCUCCUCCUCCACUCCCCCCCCUUUAUUACCCUUUGUGUCAUCCUCCACAGCUCCAGGGAAGGCACUCAAAAGUGGGGGGCAGGAAAGAUGCUUUUUGAGGAAAUCAGUUUCUGCAUGUGGGAAGUAGAUAUUGAAGGUUAUAUGGUUUACAGACAAGAUCUUUAAAAUAUAGAUACUCAAGGACCAAGGAAAUAAAUA